AGGUUGACCUCGGAUCAGGUAGGGAUACCCGCUGAACUUAAGCAUAUCAAUAAGCGGAGGAAAAGAAACCAACAGGGAUUGCCUCAGUAACGGCGAGUGAAGCGGCAAGAGCUCAAAUUUGAAAGCUGGCUCCUUCGGGGUCCGCAUUGUAAUUUGCAGAGGAUGCUUCGGGAGUGGCCCCCAUCUAAGUGCCCUGGAACGGGCCGUCAUAGAGGGUGAGAAUCCCGUCUGGGAUGGGGUGUCCACGCCCGUGUGAAGCUCCUUCGACGAGUCGAGUUGUUUGGGAAUGCAGCUCUAAAUGGGUGGUAAAUUUCAUCUAAAGCUAAAUACUGGCCGGAGACCGAUAGCGCACAAGUAGAGUGAUCGAAAGAUGAAAAGCACUUUGAAAAGAGAGUUAAACAGCACGUGAAAUUGUUGAAAGGGAAGCGCUUGCGACCAGACUCGCCCACGGGGUUCAGCCGGCAUUCGUGCCGGUGUACUUCCCCGCGGGCGGGCCAGCGUCGGUUUGGGCGGCCGGUCAAAGGCCCUCGGAAUGUAACGCCCCCCGGGGCGUCUUAUAGCCGAGGGUGCCAUGCGGCCAGCCCGGACCGAGGAACGCGCUUCGGCUCGGACGCUGGCAUAAUGGUCGUAAGCGACC
rnacentral:rRNA from 1 species